rnacentral:lncRNA from 13 species
UCUAACUUCUGUGACGCAUAUUCCACAAUUCCCUUUUGUUGCUCCCGACCUAUAGACAGGGACUAAAACAGGAAACGCCCGUGCUCAGGUCUGUUCAACGCUGGUCCGACCAAUCUGAUUCCACGCUUCAAGAUUGCUUCGAUCACGUGGACUGGUAUAUGUUCCGGAUAGCAUCAGACAACAACAUUGAUGUUUACGCUGAUUCGGUGAGUGAGUUUAUUAGCACAUGCAUCGGUGAUGUUGUACCCACGGUGACUAUUAAAACCUUCCCAAACCAGAAACCUUGGAUUGAUGGCAGCAUUCGUGCAAAACUGAAAGCGCAAACCACUGCUUUUAAUCAUGGCAAGGCGACCAGAAACAUGGCCAAAUACAAACAAUGUAGCUAUUCCCUCCGCAAGGCAAUCAAACAAGCUAAGCGUCAGUAUAGAGACAAAGUAGAGUCGCAAUUCAACGGCUCAGACACGAGACGUAUGUGGCAGGGUCUACAGUCAAUCAGGGAUUACAAAAAGAAAACCAGCCCUUUUGCGGACACCGAUGUCUUGCUCCCAGACAAGCUAAACAACUUCUUUGCUCGCUUUGAGGACAAUACAGUGCCACUGACACGGCCCACUACCCAAACCUGCGGGCUCUCUUUCACCGCAGCCAACAUGAGUAAAACAUUUAAACGUGUUAACCCUCGCAAGGCUGCUGGCCCAGACGGCAUCCCUAGCCAUGUCCUCAGAGCAUGCGCAGACCAGCUGGCUGGUGUGUUUAAGGACAUAUUCAAUCAAUCCCUAUCCCGGUCUGCUGUUCCCACAUGCUUCAAGAGGGCCACCAUUGUUCCUGUUCCCAAGAAAGCUAAGGUAACUGAGCUAAAAAACUAUCGCCCCAUAGCACUCACUUCCGUCAUCAUGAAGUGCUUUGAGAGACUAGUCAAGGAUCACAUCACUUCCCCCCUACCCGACACCCUAGACCCACUUCAGUUUGCUUACCGCCCCAAUAGGUCCACAGACGAUGCAAUCACAAUCAACUGCACACUCCCCUAACCCAUCUGGACAAGAGGAAUACCUA